rnacentral:snRNA from 1 species
AUCACUUCUCGGCCUUUUGGCUAAGAUCAAGUGUAGUACUAGUCACUAAUAUUUACGUAUAGUUUGCCAUAUACCAAGUACUUUUCAGAGUGUCUUAUACAUGUUAUCACUUUAAUCUUCCACAAAUCUUUGGGAUAGAAGUCAUUCUUA